rnacentral:rRNA from 1 species
UGGAUGAUGUGGAUUAAUUCGAUGCAACGCGAAGAACCUUACUACCCUUGACAUGUCCGGAACUUGCCAGAGAUGGCUUGGUGCCCGAAAGGGAAUCGGAACACAGGUGCUGCAUGGCUGUCGUCAGCUCGUGUCGUGAGAUGUUGGGUUAAGUCCCGCAACGAGCGCAACCCUCAUCAUUAGUUGCUACGCAAGGGCACUCUAAUGAGACUGCCGGUGACAAACCGGAGGAAGGUGGGGAUGACGUCAAGUCCUCAUGGCCCUUAUGGUAGGGCUUCACACGUCAUACAAUGGUCGGUACAGAGGGUUGCCAAGCCGCGAGGCGGAGCCAAUCCCACAAAGCCGAUCGUAGUCCGGAUUGUUCUCUGCAACUCGAGAGCAUGAAGUCGGAAUCGCUAGUAAUCGCAGGUCAGCAUACUGCGGUGAAUACGUUCCCGGGUCUU